CUAGCGCGGUCUUGGCCUGUCAGGAGCAGCCAGUAGACUGCCGAGCGGCCGAUCCGCUUCCCGACCACCAUCAUCGCUCCGCCGGCGUGACCCCCCCGGACACCGGGAUUUGAAGAUGCAGAAAGCAAAUGAAGUGGAAACCCCUAUAAGAAACUUGAAAGAAUAAAGUAACUUGCUGCAACAGAGGCCUUAGAAAAAGUGACUUCUGCACAAGCCAAGAAAUACAAGUGACAGGAGUGGGAACAGGAGAGUUGCUGAAUUCUGCUGGAAUUUUUCCUGUGGGAAUCUGUUAAUGUUUUUAAUUCUCUGAGAGAUUUUUCUAAGUUCUUUCUGAUUCCUUUACUGUGAUCCAGUUAACUUAGCAAAUGCUUCUUUGAGCUGGUGUAACACAUGACUAAACAGCUUGUUGAAAGAAAAAUGAUGACAGCUCUCAUGAGUUCCCCUGGCUUUUCAGUCUGUUCACUUUUUGAAUGCAGUUAUUUCUGGAUGAUUGCUACUAUGGCUCUUCCACCUCCUGAUCCAGAGUUUGUAUUACGAGGAACUGCAGCUCCAGUCCACACUCUACACUUUUCCUGCAGAGGCCAAGAACCUGAGUUUCCUAUUCUCUUCUCUGGGUCUGCCAAUGGUCUGGUCCAAAUCUGGAACCUGAAAACACAUAGGGUGGACACGACACUGGAUGGUCAUGGAGGAAAAUCUGUAUACUGGGUGGAGACGAUACGUGGCAGAGAUGAGCUCCUCAGCCAGGGUCGUGAUCAGAAGAUCUGCCUCUGGGAUUUGGCAGAAGGAAGGAGCAUGGUGACAGAUUCCAUUUCCAUGGAUAGUGUGGGAUUCUGCAGAUGCUCGCUGCUGAAGAUGGCGCAGGACCGUUGGCUAAUAGCCAUGCCAGCAAAUGACCCAGAUGAGGUUCAGGUUUUGGAGCUUCCAUCCAAGACAUCAGUCUGUACCUUGAAGCCAGAGGCAGGUGCCAAACUGGGCAUGCCCAUGUGUCUGAAGCUAUGGCAGCCUGGCUUUGGGGCAUGUCCUUUCCUUAUGGCUGGCUAUGAGGAUGGAUCCGUGAUCCUAUGGAAUUUAUCAAUGGGAAAAAUGUUGAGUCGGCUUGCUUGCCACCAGGAGCCAGUGAUGAGCCUUGACUUUGACUCGGAGAAGGCCAAGGGGGUCUCGGGUUCAUCUGAGAAGGUGCUUAGCGUCUGGAGCCUCGAUGAACAGCAGAACUUAAAGGUUCACAAAACACAUGAACUCAUCAAUUCUGGGAUCUCUGAUGUUACCAUCCGCCAGGACAGGAAGAUACUGGCAACGGCAGGUUGGGAUUAUCGCAUCAGGAUCUUUGGCUGGAAGAAAAUGAAGCCAUUGGCAGUGCUGGACUUCCAUACUGCAACCGUCCACUGUGUGUCCUUCUCAGAUCACAGCAGCCCUAGUGAAAGACUUCUGGCAGCUGGCUCCAAAGACCACCGCAUUAGUAUCUGGUCACUGUACAAUCAAACAUGAGAGGUGCUUGCUUAUCCUGUGGACUGAAAAAUACAGAUUAAAACAGUUCCUGGAAUAUGAUGAAAAACUGGAGCUAAAAUCUACUGGGGGCUGGGCGGGUGGGCAUGGAGUUCAAGGUCCCAGGAGGUGAAUUCUUCCACCACUUGUUUGCUAUGGAAAAUGAAAUUGGAGGGGAGAGUUAAUGUCAAAAAGGGAAAAAAAGAUCAUCCUGUAGUUUUGACACGGGAAUUGUGGCAGUCUAGGGUUCUGCUGUGGGCCAUGCCACGGUGCUCCGCUGGUGCGUUCUUUGUCAGCUGCCCCAUCCGUACAAUGGAUACUGCACCUAUCUUGCAGGAGUGCGGUGGAGCUAGAAUGAUCCAUUUAUACAUCUUAUGUGCAUCCAGGAGUCUCAUAUCUUCUAGCUGAGGAUCUCAAGACGCCAAGUAACUUCACGAAGACUCGGACUGCCUUGUGAGAUCCUGUAAGGGUAGGAUAAGAGCAGCCUUUUGAUCACCAGCAAACUGAAGUGCACGGGAGCUGAGCAACUUUGUAAAUGCCUCACAGCAAAUCAGCAACAAAGCUCAGGCUAAGAGAUUUCUUGUUCCCUGCUCUAACUGUGAGAUCACACCUCUUCUGUAAGGCAAAGCCUAAAGACAGAAAAUCAUUACUAUGGCUGAUCAGACCAAGUUGCCAUGAUGGUGUUUGUGUUUCAUUUGCUCCAGAAGUGUUUGCAUAAUGUUAUCAGAUAAUAGGAUUAGUUGGGCUGAAGCAUUUGCUUCUUGGAGAGGGAGAGGUUGAUGCUGUUGCAGUUUAGUUGCAUUCACGCCGCUUGCUUAAAAAAAAAAUCUCAGAUGGAGCCACUGGACCCAAACAAGUGACCCCUAUAUAUUUAAUACAUGUCUGAGUAGCUUGGUGCUAACCAUUUAGCUGUUAUUGGGUUCUUUCCCCUCAAUACCAUCCAUCAUGGAAACUUUGGCACUUUAAUGUAUUAUUAAACCACAUAGCUGGGAUUUUCGCAACAUAAUCUCUGAAUUGUGAAUGCUUUGCCCAUAUGAUUAAUAGUGUGAAAUAUAUCUGUGCAUGUGUUACCAGCAUUAUGAUGUGUAAUGCUUUAGUCUGACUUUGCCCAGAGGAAUCUGAUGUGCAGAUUGGUAUUAGAGAUCAAAAUGCAUAUGGGGGGUGAUAUAAAAAGCCUAAAAAUGGGCACGAUUCCCAAAAUAAACUAAUUUUACAAUGUCCAAGGAGGUACCAAAUUCUGAAUGCACUUCUGGUGGAAUGAGGAAGGGUGGGGAGAUGAAGAUGACCAGCAAAAGGGUUGGUUUUGCAAGAUAGUAAUGCAUCUGUCCCUGUAUGCUUAAAACCAAAGCUCUUCAUUGCCAUAGCCACAGGCUUGCUUUAUUUUUAAGUUCUGAAACAUGAGGAUAUGACACGAAUAGCAAUCUGGGUAAAGGCUUUUAGAAACCAUGUGAAUAUACUGGAUCCUGUCAUCAUUCUAAAUCUCUGCUGGCCUAAGAAACUUCCAUAAUUGCUGCGGUGUUGGAAGCAAUGGCCAUUUUGAAUUUCUCAGCAGUGCUAGAGGUAGAAUUCAGACAUCCCUGCCCUAAAAGCACAGGCCAAGUUGGUUGCCCUAAAAAAGUCUCAAUAUCAUACUGAAGCUAUAACACAUACUUGAGAAUUUCUGGCUUCUCCCAAGAGAAAACUGGUAAUAGGCCUCUAUCCAGUCUGUUGCAUGACGGUGAUAAGCACUGUCAGUCAGUUAUUAGUUAUGAUGUCCUUUCGUGUUUACAAUCAGGAACACACUUAGAUGUUCAAAAUUAGCAGCAUCUUUUUCUCUUAACAGCAGAUGGACACCGUAGGACAGUCUGUUCUGGUAGAGCAUUGACGACUAUUUGUGGCCAGCCUCAGCAGCUGUACAGAUUAGCCCAACAAGCAGAAGUAACCCGCGGGACCGUGAGUUCAGUGUACUGCAUGCUGAAAGGUUCAAACCAGGCUCAGUACUCUGCUCCAUGCUGCUUUUUCUCAUGCAUGCAUAGGAAUGAUCCCCAGUCAUUUGUGGUAGUAUCUGCUGUAGGGCUCUGCUGGCAUUGGUAGGAGGUGAGAUUAAGGUACUGAUUUUACAUGACAAUACUGAACUUGCUAGGGGAUAUGUACAUGGCCUCCUUCAAGAGUAAGCACAAGGAGCGCAAUUGCUGGUGUGCAGUCCCAGCUGGAUUCCCACCUAAGCUGUUUUUAACAUACUGCCUCUUGUGAGCAUUGCCUCUUCAGAUUGUGUUUUACCUUGGCUUUUUUAUGGCAUGCCAAGUCUUUUCCAUGGCAUGCCAUGGCAUCAAGUUGAAUGGAGACAAAGCGUCUUUCAAGUUAUCCCUUGAGCCCAUCUGCUUGGAAGCAGCUCCCAACAAGCAGGAAAGGGAAUUGAAUCAAAGCUUCAUCAUGUUGGCUGAAAUAAGAGCUGCGUGAGGCUGGGCUGGAAAAACCAGGCUGCAGGAAAGGCUUCCCCCAGGCCACAUGCUGGAGGCUUCCUCUCCCCUUUAAAUGGGAGCAGACCGGGUGGGUGUGUCCUGCCUCUUCCUGACCCCAUCAAAUGCAACAGGAUUUGCUUACUUGGUUUAACUAUGAGCACUGCGGGGGUGUGCAGGGGGAGAGGGGCAGGGAAUGCUGCUAUAGCUCUGACCAGUAGUGGGGCAAUAAGCACGGGACAAGCCAGCGCAAGGCAAGAAGCUUUGUCUAUUAUCACCCAGGCUUAGCAUCACAGCUAAACCCAUGUAAAGCUCGAUAGCAUGAGCCCUAUCGUACAGGCCUUUCCAUCGAUUGAAUAUGGGGCUUGUCUUAGCUUACAUGGAGAUGGCUGUUCACAGCCAAGCAGGCUGAGGCUGUCAAGGCAGGUGGGAAUGUUCAUUUUGCAGGUGGGUAGAAUAAAGCAGGAGGCUCAAAUCCGCUCUCCUGCCAGGCAAGCCGCAGUCCUGCAUCACAGCUGCCUCUGCUGAGAUGAGGUUUUAGCGAUGAGCAGCCACCACACGCCCCUCAGCUGGCUGCCGCCCAAAGGAGAAGGGCUGCAGUGCAGUGUUGGGUAGGGACCCAAAAUGAGAGCCCUAAACCUCCCAGAAAGCACCCAGACCUGUUCUUCACACGGCAGCUGCAAACUGCCAGGGGAGCCAUGCCAUGCACAGAAACGGGUCCGUCCCUGAGUCCCACACAGUCCUGCAAGGGGCUGAGCUUGCUGGCCCCAGUAAACAGCAAGUCCAUCCUGUAUAUUAAGCACCUGCUGCUGUUGCAUUGGGGCCAGCCUUAGCUCAGCGAGGCCUGGAUCAUUUUCACAGCAAGGGCAACCAAAUGUGGGUGGAGGGUGGGUAGCACUGAACUCAAAUGAGCAGCAGACCCACAGGCUGAUGUGGUCUGGAAGGCAGGGCAGCUGGUGGAGUUGUAUCUCAUGGGUGUGAUGUGAAGCUUAACAUGUUAAUCACAUGUGACUUUAAGAUGUACUGAAUGCAAAUCGUUAGGCAAGUUCAAGUGCUUUCCAACCCACAGCAUCCAAGCCUGACAGUGCUUCACAUACAAAUCACUCUUCCACAUGCCUGGAAAAGCUGUAGACAGGACCCUGGCAGGCUGAGUCCCCCAAAUGGCAAUUUUCUCAGUUGUGGCCUCUCACUUCUUUGUAGUUUAAAUUGCUACAGUUAGUGUCAGUAGGCAUGAGUGAUGUAUUGUAAUUAUUUUAUUGUGGCUGCUCUUUAUAAGGUUUUUUUUCUUUUGUAAUCUGGAAACACAUCUAACUUCCCACAUGGAAAGAAAUCAUUUAUCAUACUUUACACACAGAUAUUUGGCUAACUCUCUUGCACAUCUAUGCAAAGCAUAUUAUACACACAAGGCUAAAUUUGAUAAAACAAAAACAAUAUAAAUUGUGCUAUAAGAAGUCUAGUGCACAACUGUGUGCCUAAUUUACAAACUCUAGCAUCUUUGGCACAUUUGAAAUGGGUCAUUUCUAUUAUUUUAGGAGGAAUAUGGACUUUAGGCACAGAUAAUAAUUAUACGUAGAGCUGUGGAAGAGGCUAUCACACACAUGCAUUAAUUUCAAAGGUGUUGGGUCUGUAGCUUGUGUAUUCCCUGUUGCAAAAACAUUUAAAAAACUGGUUUCUUUUGCCUGUAACAGGACUUUACAUGAGUUUUAUGUGUGUUCCAUUAGAAUAAAGGAGCUGUUCUCAGUAUACUGGUUUAUUUUAUUGCAUCUCAAGAUUAGUUAGUAAGGCAACUUAGUGGUCAGUUCAAUAACGUGGCUAAUACAGUUGGUGUAUGACUCUUCAAUAAAGACUGAUGGAUUUAAACACA